rnacentral:sRNA from 1 species
UAUACACAUAACAUCUAGUCAUAUUUAACUCUGAAACGCUAACCUAGAUUCUUUUUGCUUC